GACGAACGCUGGCGGCGUGCUUAACACAUGCAAGUCGAACGGAAAGGCCCUGCUUUUGUGGGGUGCUCGAGUGGCGAACGGGUGAGUAACACGUGAGUAACCUGCCCUUGACUUUGGGAUAACUUCAGGAAACUGGGGCUAAUACCGGAUAGGAGCUCCUGCUGCAUGGUGGGGGUUGGAAAGUUUCGGCGGUUGGGGAUGGACUCGCGGCUUAUCAGCUUGUUGGUGGGGUAGUGGCUUACCAAGGCUUUGACGGGUAGCCGGCCUGAGAGGGUGACCGGCCACAUUGGGACUGAGAUAGGGCCAAGACUCCUAGGGGAGGCAGCAGUGGGGAAUAUUGCACAAUGGGCGGAAGCCUGAUGCAGCAACGCCGCGUGCGGGAUGACGGCCUUCGGGUUGUAACCCGCUUUCGCCUGUGACGAAGCGUGAGUGACGGUAAUGGGUAAAGAAGCACCGGCUAACUACGUG
rnacentral:rRNA from 1 species